rnacentral:rRNA from 1 species
CCUACGGGAGACAGCAGUGAGGAAUAUUGGUCAAUGGGCGGAAGCCUGAACCAGCCAAGUCGCGUGAGGGAUUAAGGCCCUGCGGGUCGUAAACCUCUUUUGUCGGGGAGCAGUGGUCCGGACGCGUCCGGACCGGGAGAGUACCCGGAGAAAAAGCAUCGGCAAACUACGUGCCAGCAGCCGCGGUAAUACGGAGGAUGCGAGCGUAAUCCGGUUUACUUGGGUUAAAGGGGUCGGUAGGCGGGCGUUUAAGCCGGCGGUAAAAUGUCGGGGCGCAACCCCGGCCUGCCGUCGGAACUGGGUGCCUUGAGUAGGCGAGAAGUAUGCGGAAUGCGUGGUGUAGCGGUGAAAUGCAUAGAUAUCACGCAGAACCCCGAUUGCGAAGGCAGCAUACCGGCGCCCUACUGACGCUGAGGCUCGAAAGUGCGGGUAUCGAACAGGAUUAGAUACCCGAGUAGUC